rnacentral:lncRNA from 1 species
GUGCCCUCCUUCAACUGGACGCAGGGAGGCGGUGGGUGGGGCAGGGGCCAGAAAACAAGUCAACUUCUAACUUCCCCUUCACCACGGGCGGCAUGUUUCUCACGUCCGUCUUCAUUGGCUCACCCACCAGAGCCAACUGAUAGCCAGACUACGAAACGACAGUCAGGUCCAGCAGCUGAGGCGAGGCGGAGCUCCACGCAGACCCACUCUGUUUCCAUCCAGCCAAUCAGCGCCAGCAUCCAUUGGUCACGUGGUCAUCGUGCACAUGCGCACACGAGAGAACGCCUCAUUCAGGUCCUGGCGUGGCGGAGGAGCCGGGCCAUAGUUUCUUGCUGCGUGUUGAAACUCUUCUCCAGUUGUACUCUCGCGGGUAAUUUCCCUGCGAAUAGCCCCACCAGGUUCCCCAGGAUGGAGAUGAAUUCCAGAGAUGAAUUUUGCUGUAUUCAACACAGCACAUUGCAUUUAAAAUGGAAGAGCCAAGAAGAAACCACCAGUCACUGGUCUGGGGAACAUAGACGGCCAGCCAUACAUGGUACUCGGGAAGGCGAUGUUUGUCCAGGUGUAAGCCCUGCAGCAAAGGGUCCCAGAUUCCAGCCUGUCCCAGCAGGACCAUGCCCACCCUCUGGAAUUACCUGCAUAUCUGAGAAGGUGACCCUCAAGAUUCUCUUCCCUUGGACCCUGGAUUUUAGAACAUAA